UACAGAGGUCUCAAGCGUUGUUCGGAUUCAUUAGGCGUAAAGGGUGUGUAGGUGGCGCCGUAAGUCGGGUGUGAAAUUUCGGAGCUUAACCCCGAAACUGCAUUCGAUACUGCGGUGCUUGAGGACUGGAGAGGAGACUGGAAUUCAUGGUGUAGCAGUGAAAUGCGUAGAGAUCAUGAGGAAGACCAGUGGCGAAGGCGGGUCUCUGGACAGUUCCUGACACUGAGACACGAAGGCCAGGGGAGCAAACGGG
rnacentral:rRNA from 1 species